UGGGUAAUGGGUACCCACGGGUU
rnacentral:snRNA from 1 species